AUGAGAGGAAUUGAACUCUUGACCCCAAACUACAAAAUAAAUAGUUUGCUGAGACCGCUGCUUGCAUACAUUGAGCACCUUCCGCAGGUAACUGUAACACUACAUUCCUGUUGGAAGCAUUGCUUACCUCCCUUAAGAGGGGAUUUCAGCAAGAUCAUUUCCAUUUGGUGUGUGGAAAGACAGUACAUCUAGCUGUUGGGAUGAACAAUGAUGAGAGCUAAAGUCAACUGUGAAAUACAUAAGGCGAAAAAGGAAGGAUUUGGAAAAAAGAAAAACAUUACAUGAGGAAGAAUAUGCUUACUCCAAAACAGACCUGAAUUGUACCAACACCACACAAGAAAUGUAAACAUUAUGUACUGCAGGUGUGUACUGAUGAAAAAACCCCACAUUUUAUAAAAAAAGUGUAAAGACAGAACAAAAAAGUAAAAAUAAUGACAUUAUCUGAGUAUUGUGUGCUAAGUACUGCUAUAAACUUUUUACAUGAAUUAACUCAGUCAUUUCAGCAAUCCUAUUAGGUGGGUACUAGGGCCAUUAGUACAGGUAGCACAACUAGAGCUGUGAGACCACUAUCCUCUGUCCACUGGAAAUUGAGCAACACCCCAGGGGCAAUCCUCCUUUCAUUGUUCUAAGAUAAACAGAAAGCACAACAAAAAGGCCCAGGAAAUCUGCAACAUUCCAGACCAGAGUACUUGCAUGUUAGAUCUCAUGGGCUUAACCAAUAGUAAUCUUUUCUUCACUCUAACCAUGUUAAAAAUUCAUAAAUAUGGACUAUUUCAUACAUGUAAUUUAAUCUGAACUCUGGGAAAAUCUUGCAUACUAGAUGCUCCUAAGGAUGACUCAGUACUCAAUCAUUCCUGUUAGUCGUACCCAGAGACCCAAUGAAAGACACCUGGACUGGAAUGCACAACUUUUAAAUUCUGAAAUCCUGAUUUAUCUAUGUAUACUUACUUUCCUGCCAUCUCAGCACCACUUUUCUGUUCAGGACAAAUUUUUGUCAGCAUGAACCUGCCCUGAUCACAUCUUCCCGUGAUCUUCAAUAAAUAUAAUUCCUUUUUCUUUUACCAUUGGAUGUAGCUUGCAAUUCUUUGGUUUUUUUUUUUUAGCGGUACCAGGGAUCGAACUCACGACUGCCUGCUUGCAAGGCAGGCGCUUAUGCCACUGAGCUAAAUCCCCAGC
rnacentral:lncRNA from 1 species